rnacentral:rRNA from 1 species
GUGACAAACCGGAGGAAGGUGGGGAUGACGUCAAAUCAUCAUGCCCCUUAUGACCUGGGCUACACACGUGCUACAAUGGACAGUACAAUGAGCAGCGACACGGCGACGUGAAGCGAAUCUCAUAAAGCUGUUCUCAGUUCGGAUUGUAGGCUGCAACUCGCCUACAUGAAGCCGGAAUCGCUAGUAAUCGCGGAUCAGCACGCCGCGGUGAAUACGUUCCCGGGCCUUGUACACACCGCCCGUCACACCACGAAAGUUUGUAACACCCGAAGUCGGUGAGGUAACCGCAAGGAGCCAACCGCCUAAGGUGGGAUAGAUGAUUGGGGUGAAGUCGUAACAAGGUAACCAAGGGCGAAUUCUG